ACUAUCACUGGAUUACUGUGAUACUGAAGAAAAGUUAAAAACGGGACUAUUCUCAGGCGAGUUCUGCAGCUACGAGGAGUCUCUGCUUUCUAAGAGGAUUUAUGGACGUUUAUUCACGAUGGACAUCAGAGAGAAAGAAGUCAAACAUGAGUCCUGAUCCAACAGCAACAAUGGUGACCUGAGAACUGAAUAUUUGGAGCACAUCUGAACACAGAUCUGCACAGGUUCUGUCCUCCAUAGCAUCCUGGCUCUUUGCUGCUGAGACUGUAAUGAAGUUUAGACCGACUGUAACGACUGUGUAGUGUUUGUCUGAGAAAAUAUAUUUCUACACAGAACACUUUAUGUGUUACAGCACUUGAACAUAAAAGGUAUGGAAGACAUAACCUGCCAAAGUAAAAAAUAAACGAAUAAAAAAAUAAUAAUAUUCCCUUAUUUUUUUAGUCUUCUGUUUAAUUUUCCCUUUUAUUUAUUUAUGAAUUUAUUUUUAUUACAUUUUAAAUGUAUUUAUUAAUUUUUGCUUUUAUUUACUUAUUUUGUUAUUUAUUGUAUAUCUAUUUUUAAAUUUAUUUAUUUAUUGUUGUAUUUUCUUGACACAUUUCUUUUGACAUUUUUUUAUAUAUUCCUGCCUUAUUAUGCAAAUUAAUAUCUAUAUUUAUUUUUAUAUCAUUUUUGCUAUUUUUAAAGACAUUUAUUUAUUUUUUUAUUUUUUUAUUUUGGCAGGUUACGGCCUCCAUAAAAACACAGCUCAAAGUGAAAAUAAACAAUUAUUAAAUUAUUAGUUUAGUAUGUCCUCUUAAAUUGAUUGUCCUGUUUGAUGCUUUUGCAAAUAUAUGCAAAAAAUAAAUAAAAAUAAAAAUAAAGUACAUUUAUUCAAGGACUUUACUUCUGUAAGUACAGUUUUGAGAUAAUGACUACUUGUACUUUAAUUUUUAGCCUGCAGUACUAUUCUUCUCCACUACAUCUCAGAGGGAAUUAUUGUAUUUCUACUGCUCCGCAUUUAUAAAUAAAACGUGAUCAAUUUAUAAAAUAUGAUGGUGUGUUUUAGAUUUAACUAAAAGUAUAUAA